rnacentral:lncRNA from 1 species
AUGCUAUACAUCUUUUAGUUAAAAACACAAUAUAACAUAAGAUUCCGAUUCUUUAUAGAGAACCAAGAAACAUGGAUUGUUUCUUCUAGUCACCUAAAAUGAAUUUUUCACUCUCGCACACAUUCUAUUAUUCCACCAAUACUUGAUUAAAAAUGUUUUUAACAUCCAAUUUUCCCUACAUCUGUAUAGUUUUGAUCACAUCCAAAAUUGUGGUUAACUCAAUUGACUAUACAGUUAAUUUAGAUCACGUGCAAAAUUAUGAAAUUGUGGUUAAUUAUGUCGUUGAAUUAACCACAAUUUUGACCGUGGUCUGAAUUAACAAUCUACUAAAAUGAUUUAACCAUACUUUUGAACGUAAUUAAUAUGUCGCAGAUGUAGAAAAAAUUAGUCUCUAAAUAAAAUUACCAAUACUUGUUUUUACUUUGCAUUGCUUUCCAUUCGAAUGGCAAGUUGAGAAAGUACCCUUGUGGAAGACCCAUCUUCUGCUAAUGCACAAGUAGAAGCAUAUUUAAGCUCUUCAAUUCUUUGUUCAAUUUCACUCCUUUCUUCACCAAGCAUUAAAUCUCUAAUCACCUUAGCAAUUUCCUCUCUUUCUGCAAUGCCACUCUCAUUAAAUUUUACCUUCAAACCCACCUUGAGUCCCUCUAUUAACAAAAUAGCAUUCAAUCUUUGCUCGCCAAACAACGGCCAAGUUAUCAUUGGCACUCCCGACGCAAUGCUCUCGAGUGUUGAAUUCCAACCACAAUGUGUUAAAAAUCCACCAGUUGAAGUGUGGCUUAGGAUUUGAGUCUGUGGUGCCCAAAAAGAAACUACUAAUCCUUGUUCUUUGGUUCUCCCUAAGAACCCACUUGGUAAGUAUUUUAAAGGGUCAUUUUUAGCACUAUGGUCACCUAGAAUUUCAGAAUUAUUAGGUUCUCUCAAAACCCACAAGAAUUUUUGACCACUCAGCUCUAACCCUAAAGCUAGUUCAUUGAUCUGCUCUUGAGAUAAACUUCCUCUACUUCCAAAGGACACAUACAAAACAGACUUUGGUCUUUGAUUCUCCAACCACUUUACACACACCGAUUUGUUUAACUCAUUUGAACCGGUUUGUAUGAUCGGUCCAACGAGAUAAACUAAUUGUUUGUUGUUACUUUGCUCCUUUUCCAUUAAGGCUCUCACUGUGCUUUCCUCCAUUUCUGAGAAGCUAUUAAUCAAUACACCAUCAGCAAGAGAGAAUCUCUUGGUUUGUCGAAGAAUUGUCUCGUAAGCAAUACUAGACCGAUCUUCAAAAAAAGUACGAGGGAGAUCUUGGCCGCGAAUAGGUGUGCAACCCGGAAUUUCAAUAGGUUCAACGUGAUCCAUGUACUCACCCGAAACUUGUUCGUCAAGUAUUGGCAAAUGCAAGUGUAGUGAAGUUGUCAUGGCAGAAACAGGGAAGUACAUGAAAGAUAAGAUGUUGAACUCUUUCGCUAUUUCUAAUGCUUGGUUUGCAAAAGGAUCAACAACUAUUGCUACAACCGGUGUGGUUGAAGUUGAACAAAGCAAACUCAACGAUUCGCGAAAAGAUGGCAUGGAUUUAGUAACACCAAGUUCAAGUUGCAUGGUAACUUCUUGUGGUAGGUCUUGUUUUUUUAUUGGAGGGAGGAAAGUGCAGUGUAUGGUUGAAGGAAGAGAUUCAAGUAAUUUGAGGGUGGCUGGGAUAGGUGCAUCAAUGGUGGGGAAGAUGCAAGUGAUUUGGAAGUGGUUAUGGACUUGAAUGAGUCUCUUGCAGAACUCAAUUACAGAAGAUUCAUGGCUAAACAGAGGGAUUGAUGUUACUACUAUAUGACUAGUUGGUUUUGUUUCGGCCAUGGAAUGGAAUUGGAGAGAGAGUUGCUAACUAUAGAUCAGUGAUUUGGUUUAUGGUUUAUGAAGUUGCUCAUUUAAAUUAUAUAUAUUGUUAUAGAUCUAAGACAUUUUUUUAGAGUUUAAUGCUAGACUGGCUCACACUAACUAACUCAAAGAUAACAUUGACUUGGUUUUAGUAUUUAGGGGCUUGGUAUUAUGAUAUUGAUAGAAGUAUUCACAGUUGUUUAAGGGUGAUUAAUAUAUGUUGGAGGGGUCUAAAUCUCUUGCCACAUAGAUCAAUACAUAGUUUUUUUCUUUGAGACAAGUAGACCAAUUCAUAGCUGGCAAAAUUAUUUCUUUUCGACAAAUUUAAC